rnacentral:rRNA from 1 species
AUUGAACGCUGGCGGCAUGCCUAACACAUGCAAGUCGAACGAGACCUUCGGGUCUAGUGGCGCACGGGUGCGUAACGCGUGGGAAUCUGCCCUUUGCUUCGGAAUAACAGUUAGAAAUGACUGCUAAUACCGGAUGAUGUCUUCGGACCAAAGAUUUAUCGGCAAAGGAUGAGCCCGCGUAGGAUUAGCUAGUUGGUGGGGUAAAGGCCUACCAAGGCGACGAUCCAUAGCUGGUCUGAGAGGAUGAUCAGCCACACUGGGACUGAGACACGGCCCAGACUCCUACGGGAGGCAGCAGUGGGGAAUAUUGGACAAUGGGCGAAAGCCUGAUCCAGCAAUGCCGCGUGAGUGAUGAAGGCCUUAGGUUGUAAAGCUCUUUUACCCGAGAUGAUAAUGACAGUAUCGGGAGAAUAAGCUCCGGCUAACUCCGUGCCAGCAGCCGCGG